GUUAUGAAAGUGUCAAGCAAGAGUUUCUUCGUAUUUCUGAAUCGUUGUUUUCCUUCAGAGUUUACUAAACUCUUUUUUUUUUAAAUCUUAUGUAGGAGAGAUGGACCGAAAGAUUUGGCUUUGCAGGGACCAACAUCUACACUGAGAUUCUCAAGCACGCCACUCCUGUAGACAGAUGAAACACGUAGAAGCUUAUUUUGGUUUGGCAUGGUCCUGCCCUUGACGGCGUCGUCCGCCGCCGCCCCGCAUACUCAUCCCACAGGCUCGCUGCCUCCGCCUGCGAACACUGGGUCCUUGCACGCUCGACGCCGCCGACAUGAACACCAUUUCUCUGAAGCUGUUACCUGGAGCUAAAGGGGAUCGGGGUCUAGAAAGACCCCGAAGAAGCUGCAUUAACUCGGUGGGUACAUUUUACAGUACAUGCCCUGAAAGAAAGAAGCUUGAAAGCAGGCCAGGAAAUUUACACAGAGGACCCUAAAAAGAAAAUUGCAAAC